CGGUACGUGAGCUGGGUUCAGAACGUCGUGAGACAGUUCGGUCCAUAUCCGGUGCAGGCGAAAGAACAUUGAGAGGAGUCCUCCUUAGUACGAGAGGACCGGGAGGAACGAACCGCUGGUGUACCAGUUAUUCCGCCAGGAGUAGACGCUGGGUAGCCAAGUUCGGAGAGGAUAACCGCUGAAAGCAUCUAAGUGGGAAGCCCACCUUAAGAUGAGUGUUCUCACUACGAGAGUAGGUAAGGUCACGGGGAGAAGACCCGUUGAUAGGCUUUAUGUGGAAGUACAGUAAUGUAUGUAGCAGAGAAGUCCUAACAGACCGAGGGCUUGACCUC
rnacentral:rRNA from 1 species